CAAAUGGAGCUACCCGACGGAGCUUUCCAGGCCUCCGAUGACGAUCUCUCCUCCGUCGCUGCCGAUUCCUGGUCCGUGAGGAGCGAAUAUGGCAGCGUCCUCGACGCGGACGAGCUUGUUCGCCAGGCCGAGUCGGUCAUCGAGACAACGGGAGCGCAAGAUUCUUACAGCUCAUGCAAGGACGAAGAGGAAAGCCUUCAAUCUGUUCUAGGAUUGCAAAGCCAUUGGAACAGCACGUACGCUGACGAGCUCAACAAUUUCUACGCUCAUGGAGAUAGAGGCGAGAUAUGGUUUGGAGAGUCUGUCACGGACACAGUCGCAAGAUGGACCGCGAGGCUUUGUGCUGCCACGUCCACCGGCACUCCAUUCAAUCCCGCUGAUGGUCCUUUGCCCGCACCUUCUGAUUUAACAGGCUGGAGCGUUCUGGAUGUUGGAACUGGAAAUGGUGUGUUCCUUCAUGCAUUUUAUAGGCUCGGCUUUACAGAUUUAACGGGAAUUGAUUAUAGCGAAGGGGCCAUAGAACUGGCAAUAGCAAUCGCCCAGCGAAAUGGCCUUGCAGACAUUAAGUUCCUGGUGGACGACUUACUUGAAACCAAUCUCAAAGAACAAUACAGACUCGUUACGGACAAAGGGACGCUCGAUGCUAUAGGACUUCAUCCAGAAGGACAAUCUCGGAGGCUCUUGUACUGGAAGUCCAUUUCUCAGCUGGUAGCUCCGGGUGGUAUUCUGGUUGUCACAUCCUGUAACAAGACUAAAGACGAGCUAGUCAACGAGGCAACAAACGCUGCAGACGAUUUCAAGUUUGAAUACAUGGAUCACAUUCGUAGCUACCCAACAUUUCGCUUCGCUGGCGUGGAGGGAAGUCGGGUUAGCACUGUGGCUUUUCUUCGCAAAGCUUGAAGCUCCGGCGCCAGGCUGAAGAAAGUGAAGGAAAAAUCUCUCGCCAAAAGCAAUCCAACAAACAGGAAUGUUCAAACACUACAUAGGCAGUGACGCUUCAUUCAUGUCUGGUACGGGGUGAACGAUUUCAACGCCGCGAGAAUCGCCCAGCCAACAAGAAGCAUCAAGUGUUUGGUACGUGCAACGUUGUGCAACUGUUCUAACGCAGCUGAAUGAUCGUAGCAGUCGAGAAAAGCAACGAAAAAGUAAAAGAAGGAAUCGCGAUCUCAGAUGGAAAGUUGCUGUCUCGCAAAGAAAAAUGCGCGAACAUCACCGAUCACCAAACUUCGUGAUCUCAUCACACUGGUUUUGAUACUUCGAUCCAUUCAUUGAAAGUUCUCUCUCUUUGAAAGAUCGUGACAUUGUUUGAUAACUUCCUCUUGGCUAUUGCUUGCAGCUAGCGAUCCAAUCAAUUCUACUCCAAAAAAAUGGCGAAUCUACUUCCUGACGUAAUUACUUGGACGACUUUUCCAAGUACGCGUUUGAGUUCUCGUAUUAUACUCGUAUGUACGCAAAGCUCUUCCAUGCCAUAAAGAGUGGAGCUUUUCUUUAUGUGGAGAAAAACCUCGCGUGCCUCAAGUAGUGCAUGAGUCGCAAACAACAAAACCAUAAAAAAGAGAUCGCCAUCUUUCGACCAA